rnacentral:tRNA from 3 species
GGAGAGGUGCCUGAGAGGCCGAAAGGACUUGUUUGCUAAACAAGCGUACCCCUAACGGGGUACCCGGGGUUCGAAUCCCCGUCUCUCCGCAA